GUGCCAGCCGCCGCGGUAAUACAGGGGGGGCAAGCGUUGUACGGAAUUACUGGGCGUAAAGGGCUCGUAGGCGGCCAACUAAGUCCGACGUGAAAUCCCAAAGCUUAACUUUGGAACUGCGUCGGAUACUGGAUGGCUUGAAUUCGGGAGAGGGAUGCAGAAUUCCAGGUGUAGCGGUGAAAUGCGUAGAUAUCUGGAGGAAUACCGGUGGCGAAGGCGGCAUCCUGGACCGACAUUGACGCUGAGGAGCGAAAGCUAGGGGAGCAAACGGGAUUAGAUACCCGCGUAGUCC
rnacentral:rRNA from 1 species